rnacentral:misc_RNA from 1 species
GAAAUGCGAUAAGUAAUGUGAAUUGCAGAAUUCAGUGAAUCAUCGAAUCUUUGAACGCACAUUGCGCCCGCCAGUAUUCUGGCGGGCAUGCCUGUUCGAGCGUCAUUUCAACCAUCAAGCCCCCGGCUUGUGUUGGGGACCUGCGGCUGCCCGCAGGCCCUGAAAAACAGAGGCGGGCUCGCUGUCACACCGAGCGUAGUAGCAUACAUUCUCGCUCAGGGCGUGCUGCGGGUUCCGGCCGUUAAACGACCUUCAUAACCCAAGGUUGACCUCGGAUCAGGUAGGAAGACCCGCUGAACUUAAGC